rnacentral:lncRNA from 1 species
UGCCCUUUUUUUGAUUAAAAAAUUAAUUAUUUAUAAAUAUUUGAUUUUUUGACAAGGAUCAUCUUAGCUAAAAAUUAAAUGAUAAAUAUAAUUUAUAUAUAUGUAGACUAUUAGCUAGGAUGAGCUUUGGUUAUAGUUUCUUUAGGUGAAGAUAAUUUUUGAUUAAUGCUAUAUUUUAGCAUGGGUAAUUCUAACAUAAAGUUGCAAUCAACACUCGUUCAGUAAUGCAAAUCCUUACUGAAUGUCAAAAAAAUAAU